GACGAACGCUGGCGGCGUGCCUAAUACAUGCAAGUAGGACGCAGUUGCGAACGGGUGAGUAACGCGUGGGUAACUACCUAUUAGAGGGGGGUAACUAUUGGAAACGAUAGCAAAUACCGCAUACUAGUAGAUGGACCUGCGUUGUAUUAGCUAGUAGGUAGGGUAAUGGCCUACCUAGGCAACGAUACAUAGCCGACGUGAGAGGGUGAUCGGCCACACUGAGAUUGAGCAUCGGCCAAGACUUCUUCAGGAGGCAACAGUAAGGACACUGCGGCAAUGGGGGUAACGCUGACCGAGCAAACCCGCUUGCUGGAAGAAGUUGUUCUGGUGGUAAAGGUCUGUUGUUAAAGACGCGGUACGUAACCAGAAAGGGACGGCUAACUACGUGCCAGCAGCCGCGGUAAUUC
rnacentral:rRNA from 1 species